rnacentral:rRNA from 1 species
UACGUAGGGUGCAAGCGUUGUCCGGAAUUAUUGGGCGUAAAGAGCUCGUAGGCGGUCUGUCGCGUCGGCUGUGAAAUCCCGAGGCUCAACCUCGGGUCUGCAGUCGAUACGGGCAAACUAGAGUAUUGCAGGGGAGACGUGGAAUUCCUGGUGUAGCGGUAGAAAUGCGCAGAUAUCAGGAGGAACACCGGUGGCGAAGGCGGGUCUCUGGGCCAAACUGACGCUGAGGAGCGAAAGCGUGGGGAGCAAACAGG